AAGGGAGACCUAAUUCGGGUAUAAGACGAAAAAAUAGUAGUCGAAACCAAGAAUCAAUCCCAAAAGGUCGGAGCGAGGCAUGAGGCUUUCAAACUAGGUUCUGGGUUCAUAAAAGACCUGAAUCAGGAACAAGGGCUAUUAGCUCAGGUGGUUAGAGCGCACCCCUGAUAAGGGUGAGGUCCCUGGUUCGAGUCCAGGAUGGCCCACCUGCACAGGUGGCAAAAACAAAAGAAGCGAGGAAUCAGCACCUUAUCCUACUUAUAUAGUAAGAGAGAAUGCUGGCUCUGAGUAAAGAGUCCAGAGGAACCUUGAAAACUGCAUAGAGCUAGGUGAAAAAGCCAAAAAAGAAGACCGCAAGGUCAAGCUAAUAAGGGCUAACGGUGGAUACCUAGGCAC
rnacentral:tRNA from 1 species